rnacentral:lncRNA from 1 species
UAAAACGUAAAAGAAAAUUACAAGGGCUAGAAAUUUAGAAAAUUCCACAAGUGACAAUUCCCAUUUGUAGAUUUUUCAUACGUUCUUAUUUUUAGAAUUUUUUUAUUUGCAAAGAUUCUUUGAUAAAACGUAAAAGAGAAUUACAAUGGCUAGAAAUUUAGAAAAUUCCACAAGUGAAAAUUCCAAUAUUCAAGAAAUUGGACCACGGUGAUCCACGAGGCUAAAUGUGAUCAUAGGAGUGGC